rnacentral:rRNA from 1 species
GACGUAGGAUGCAAGCGUUGUCCGGAAUUAUUGGGCGUAAAGAGUUCGUAGGCGGUGAUCUAAGUCUGAUGUUAAAGCCUGAAGCUCAACUUCAGCAUGGCAUUGGAAACUGGAUCGCUAGAGUGCAGUAGGGGAGACUGGAAUUCCUGGUGUAGCGGUGAAAUGCGCAGAUAUCAGGAGGAACACCGAUGGCGAAGGCAGGUCUCUGGGCAUUAACUGACGCUGAGGAGCGAAAGCAUGGGGAGCGAACAGG